CGUAACGCGUAUACAAUCUACCUUUUGCUACGGGAUAGCCCAGAGAAAUUUGGAUUAAUACCGCAUAGUAUAUAUUUAUGGCAUCAUAUAUAUAUUAAAGAUUCAUCGGUAAGAGAUGAGUAUGCGUUCUAUUAGCUAGUAGGUGCGGUAACGGCGCACCUAGGCUACGAUAGAUAGGGGCCCUGAGAGGGGGAUCCCCCACACUGGUACUGAGACACGGACCAG
rnacentral:rRNA from 1 species